rnacentral:rRNA from 1 species
CUACGGGCGGUAGCAGUGGGGAAUAUUGCACAAUGGGCGAAAGCCUGAUGCAGCAACGCCGCGUGAGGGGCGACGGCCUUCGGGUUGUAAACCUCUUUUAGCAGGGAAGAAGCGAAAGUGACGGUACCUGCAGAAAAAGCACCGGCUAACUACGUGCCAGCAGCCGCGGUAAUACGUAGGGUGCAAGCGUUGUCCGGAAUUAUUGGGCGUAAAGAGCUCGUAGGCGGUUUGUCGCGUCUGCUGUGAAAAUCCGAGGCUCAACCUCGGACCUGCAGUGGGUACGGGCAAACUAGAGUGCGGUAGGGGAGAUUGGAAUUCCUGGUGUAGCGGUGGAAUGCGCAGAUAUCAGGAGGAACACCAAUGGCGAAGGCAGAUCUCUGGGCCGUAACUGACGCUGAGGAGCGAAAGCGUGGGGAGCGAACAGGAUUAGAUACCCGCGUAGUC